rnacentral:rRNA from 1 species
UACGUAGGUGGCAAGCGUUGUCCGGAUUUACUGGGCGUAAAGGGCGUGCAGGCGGUUUGUUAAGUGCAGGGUGAAAGCUCCCGGCUCAACUGGGAGAGGUCCUUGCAUACUGGCAAACUCGAGGGAGGCAGAGGAAAGUGGAAUUCCCGGUGUAGUGGUGAUAUGCGUAGAUAUCGGGAGGAACACCUGUGGCGAAGGCGGCUUCCUGGUCCAGCACCGACGUUCAGGCACGAAAGCGUGGGGAGCAAACAGG